UAUUGUUUUAUCAGUUGUUGCUGCGCUCCGUCGCGGCGGAGAGCAAACACAACACAAUCGCGGCGAGUCGUGUGCGCGGCCCUGAGAAAAGUUUCGCGCUCGCAGUUGGCACAUAGUCAACCCGCGCGAAUGCCAAUUAGAGUCGAAGAGUCGAAGCACAUCGAAGCCCAUCGAAGCAAUUACGCACGCAAAGUGGCACCUACCACCACCCUCCACCACCCCUCACACCCAACCGGAGAAAAUGUCAGCCGGAAAAAGUUUGAUUGUCGUUUUAUUGGCGAUCGCGCUUCAGUUGCAGCAUGAGGUCGACGCGGAUAUCGGGAAUUUACACUACGAAUGCGAACAUUUUCUCAACUUUAAACUUAAUGUUGUUAAAUAUUAUGGACCGAUUAUGAUCGACGAAGGAUUUGUCAAUGCAUGUAUGCAUAUGGGAUAUGAUUUAGAAGCGCAUAUGUACGAUGAUGUUAUAAGAGACGCAAGUGAAGUGUAUUCGCAGUAAUAAAAUUAUUUUUCCGGUU